rnacentral:sRNA from 1 species
CUCUCUAUUUGUGUUUUUUUUGGUCAGG